CCCUUAGAUGUUCUGGGCCGCACGCGCGCUACACUGACUGACUCAACGAGUUUACAACCUGUGCCGAAAGGUAUGGGUAAUCUUUUGAAAUUCAGUCGUGAUGGGUCUAGAUUAUUGCAACUAUUAAUCUUCAACGAGGAAUGCCUAGUAAGCGCGAAUCAUCAGUUCGCGUUGAUUACGUCCCUGCCCUUUGUACACACCGCCCGUCGCUCCUACCGAUUGAAUGGUCCGGUGAAAAUUUCGGACAGUGACGAUGCUGGCGGUCCGCCGCCGGCGCUGUCGCUGGAAGAUCUUUAAACCUUAUCAUUUAGAGGAAGGAGAANUCGUAACA
rnacentral:rRNA from 1 species